rnacentral:rRNA from 1 species
GACAGAGGAUGCAAGCGUUAUCCGGAAUGAUUGGGCGUAAGCGUCUGUAGGUGGCUUUUUAAGUCCGCCGUCAAAAUCCCAGGGCGUCAACCCCUGGACAGGCGGUGGAAACUACCAAGCUGGAGUACGGUAGGGGUAGAGGGAAUUUCCGGUGGAGCGGGUGAAAUGCGUAGAGAUCGGAAAGAACACCAACGGCGAAAGCACUCUGCUGGGCCGACACUGACACUGAGAGACGAAAGCUAGGGGAGCGAAUGGGA